rnacentral:rRNA from 1 species
GACGAACGCUGGCGGCGUGCUUAACACAUGCAAGUCGAGCGGUAAGGCCCUUUCGGGGGUACACGAGCGGCGAACGGGUGAGUAACACGUGGGUGACCUGCCCUCAGCUCUGGGAUAAGCCUGGGAAACCGGGUCUAAUACCGGAUAUGACUCCAUGACGCAUGUUGUGGGGUGGAAAGCCUUGUGCGGCUGAGGAUGGGCCCGCGGCCUAUCAGCUUGUUGGUGGGGUGAUGGCCUACCAAGGCGACGACGGGUAGCCGGCCUGAGAGGGCGACCGGCCACACUGGGACUGAGACACGGCCCCAGACUCCUACGGGAGGCAGCAGUGGGGAAUCUUGCGCAAUGGGCGAAAGCCUGACGCAGCGACGCCGCGUGAGGGAUGACGGCC